rnacentral:rRNA from 1 species
UACGUAGGGUGCAAGCGUUGUCCGGAAUUAUUGGGCGUAAAGAGCUCGUAGGCGGUUUGUCGCGUCCGCUGUGAAAAAUCCAGGGCUUAACCCUGGACCUGCAGUGGGUACGGGCAGACUAGAGUGCGGUAGGGGAGAUCGAAUUCCUGGUCGUAGCGGUGAAAUGCGCAGAUAUCAGGAGGAACACCGGUGGCGAAGGCGGAUCUCUGGGCCGUAACUGACGCUGAGGAGCGAAAGCAUGGGGAGCGAACAGGAUAGAUACC